AAAUCUGCAACCACCACUAUUCAAACGCAAGUAGUCUCUUUUGUUAAUCCUAAUGGAAAAUUAAAAUUUGUACAGAGACUAAAACUAUGCCUGCAAGACACCAUUGGGACUUGUGAAAACAGCAAAAGGCUAGUUGGUGUAAGAAUUUGAGUCCUGGGAGUUCCGUUUCAAGAUGGAAACACAGGAGGAUCCUGAACUUGCCUCCUGCAUGGAUAUACCAAAUCUACAGCUACCUACAUACAGAAAAAUUUCCUCUGAAAAUAGCAAAAAAUAAAAUAAAAUAAAAUAAAAACAA